rnacentral:rRNA from 1 species
AAGUCUGUUGGAAUACAGCGGCAUAGUGGUGAAACCCCCGUAUAUGGUGCGGACGCCCAGCGCUUUGUGAUACACUUUCAAUGAGUCGAGUUGUUUGGGAAUGCAGCUCAAAUUGGGUGGUAAAUUCCAUCUAAAGCUAAAUAUUGGCGAGAGACCGAUAGCGAACAAGUACCGUGAGGGAAAGAUGAAAAGCACUUUGGAAAGAGAGUUAACAGUACGUGAAAUUGUUGGAAGGGAAACGCUUGAAGUCAGACUUGCUUGCCGGAGCUUGCUUCGGUUUGCAGGCCAGCAUCAGUUUUCCGGGGUGGAUAAUGACGGUUUGAAGGUAG